CUCAAUAAGGUCUUGACAAAAGAAGACCUCACUGAGGUCCUAGCAAAGGAAGACCUCAAUAAGGUCUUGACAAGAGAAGACCUCAAUGAGGUCUUGACAAGAGAAGACCUCAAUAAGGUCUUGACAAAAGAAGACCUCACUAAGGUCCUAGCAAAGGAAGACCUCAAUAAGGUCUUGACAAGAGAAGACCUCACUGAGGUCUUGACAAAAGAAGACCUCACUAAGGUCCUAGCAAAGGAAGACCUCAAUAAGGUCUUGACAAGAGAAGACCUCAAUGAGGUCUUGCCAAAGGAAGACCUCAAUAAGGUCUUGACAAAAGAAGACCUCACUGAGGUCCUAGCAAAGGAAGACCUCAAUAAGGUCUUGACAAAGGAAGACCUCAAUAAGGUCUUGACAAGAGAAGACCUCAAUGAGGUCUUGACAAGAGAAGACCUCAAUAAGGUCUUGACAAAAGAAGACCUCACUGAGGUCCUAGCAAAGGAAGACCUCAAUAAGGUCUUGACAAGAGAAUACCUCAACAAGGUCUUGACAAGAGAAGACCUCAAUGAGGUCUUGACAAAGGAAGACCUCAAUAAGGUCUUGACAAAAGAAGACCUCACUGAGGUCCUAGCAAAGGAAGACCUCAAUAAGGUCUUGACAAGAGAAGACCUCAAUGAGGUCUUGACAAAGGAAGACCUCAAUAAGGUCUUGACAAAGGAAGACCUCACUGAGGUCCUAGCAAAGGAAGACCUCAAUAAGGUCUUGACAAGAGAAGACCUCAAUAAGGUCUUGACAAAAGAAGACCUCACUGAGGUCCUAGCAAAGGAAGACC
rnacentral:lncRNA from 1 species